CUGCAGCUUAUUAAGCCGACCAGUUGUGCUCCGUGUGUUCCUGGUGUGCAAAGGCUGCAGACAGUGACUCAGUGGAUGUGUAUGUUCUCAGCUGGGAAGUGCUGAGCGCUUUAAGGGACCGCUGAGACAAAA
ensembl:snoRNA SNORA70 Small nucleolar RNA SNORA70